UCAAGUUGGAAGUGGCACCAGCCGUUCACAUCGUGCCUUAUGCCAUCCUACCUAGUGAGACGGUGAUCGCCAGCAGUGCUGACUUCCCCACUGAGAAAUGCUUCAGUAACAAGGUGUCACUGAAGUUUACACCAUCCUCAGCUGUCCCACAAGAGGAUGUCACCAUGCAAGUGACGGCUGUGCCGGGGUCCCUUUGUGGUGUGAGCAUUGUCGACAAGAGUGUUUUCAUUAAGGAGCCAGGGAUAGGUCUGGUUGCAGACAAGAUAUUCAAGUUGCUGCCUGUGACCAGUGUAUCCUAUAUUCCAUAUGAGGUUCAAGAUCCUACAGAAUGUUUGACUGAGAGCCAAAAGAUUAAUUUUGCCACCAUAUCCUGGGACUGGUAACAAUAUCGACCCUUACACAGUUUUCCAGUUAUGUUACCCCUGAAGUCCGAAGUUGCUCAUGAUUUUGUUCCUGGAGUGGCAGCUCCCGUACCAAGUAAUGCUCCAGCUCCAUCAGUAGUGACAAUCUGCACCUUCUUCCCUGAGACUUGGUUAUGGGACCUGGUAGAAGUCAGUCAAUCUAGGCUCCCCCCCCCCCC